rnacentral:rRNA from 1 species
UGGGGAAUAUUGCACAAUGGAGGGAACUCUGAUGCAGCGACGCCGCGUGAGUGAUGAAGGAAUUCGUUUCGUAAAACUCUGUUCUAUGGGAAGAAAAGGACUGUACCAUAGGAGAAAGCUCCGGCUACAUACGUGCCAGCAGUCGCGGUAAUACGUAUGGAGCGAGCGUUGUCCGGAAUUAUUGGGCGUAAAGGGUGCGCAGGCGGCUUUACAAAUUGGAUGUGAAAUAUUGUGGCUCAACCACAAACGUGCACUCAAAACUGGAAAGCUUGAGUUAAGGGGUGGUAAGUGGAAUUCCUGGUAUAGCGGUGGAAUGCGUAGAUAUCAGGAGGAAUACCGGUGGCGAAGGCGACCUACGGGACUUAAACUGACGCUCGAACACAGAAGCGUGGGGAGCAAACAGG